ensembl:lncRNA
GAGAAUGGUUCCACAUACGUAUUAGAGCUAUCAAGGUCCUUUUGAGUUUUUCUGAAUCAUAGAAUUUUAAAAGUGUAAUUUGUGAAUUAAUGAAUUAAUCAAAAUAAUAUAGAAACGAAUGAAGAGAAAGUCAUCUUUUCUGGAUCGAUGAUGACAACUGCCAGCGCUUGAGUCAUGAUGAUGAAUGAUAUGUGUCUGGAACUCUGAGGUCCAAUAUAAAAGAGAUGAGGCCUUUCUCUUCAUGCGUUUUCAUUCUUUAUUAUAAUUGGAUCAACGAAAUAUCAAUGAGGAAAUAUAUAUAUUAAAAACAGCUGAAUUGUAGAAGUGUUGUCCAAUUUUAAAAAUAUUUGGGGAGGCCAGAAAUACUAUCAAUAUAAUUUGAAAACACUGAAGUCCAAAGAGAAAUAAAUGAAGGGACACACUGAAGCUGAUUGUAAUACUCUUCCAAGGGCGUGAACUCUCUCAAUGCGUCUCUGUGCUAGGAGCAUGUGGACCAACAUGCUCGAGCUGAUUUCAUCUUCUAUCGUGAUCAAGAUUGUCAUGUUCCCUUUGUGUUAGGAAAGAUACUAAGAAUGGACACACUCAGGCUGAGUAAGCAGUAUUCCAUGGUGUCGAGUUCAUGAUUGCACCUUUGCGUUAGGAGCACAGAGACCAAUAGUGGACGCCCUGGACCUGAUUUAAGGAUUCUUUCCGGAUCACAAGCCCUAGGGCUGCAUCCCAGUUCUAGGAGCCUAGAGAGCAAGAAUGGAUGACUUGAGCUGAUUCUAACGUUCUUCCAAGAUCGCCAGCUCUCUGAAUGCAUCUCUGUUGUAGGAGCAUGGAGACCACUGUGAGUAAUGGUCAGAGUUCUUGUAUGAGUUUGAAUGAUUUGUUGAAAGCUAUUCACUGUAUUAUUCAAAAGUAUUAAAUGUGAUCAGAAAAGGUGAAACAUGCUUGAUACGAGGCAUUGUGUCGACUGAUCCAUAAAUGUAACACUGAGGCCAGCUAAUGCAAGAGAUUUAGUCUCUAUGGGAUUUGUAGAUAUAUUAGGAAUGUUGAAGGAUUGUUUUCUUAUUUUUCAAAUCUAUAUGUAUUUCUUUAUUAAUUAAUCAAUAAAUGUUUAUGAGAGUGAAAAUAAAGAGUGCCAGUCAUGGAUCAAUGAUGAUGACUGGUGAUGUAUUAGUCACAUGCAAUGAGUACUACGUGUCUGGAACUCUGAGGCCCAACCCCAAAGUUAUCUAGUCCAUUCCUCAUGUGUCAGGAAUAUACAUAGAUUUCUUUUCUUUGUUUUUGUGUUCGUGAAUUUUAAUAAUAUUUAUAAAGUAUCUAUGAUGGAAUAAAUAAGAAAUGUACAAAGGGAUGAAGAUGAUGAAGCAUAUUCUUUGGUUAAUAUGUAGUCAGGUAAAAGAAAAUUAAUAUACAUUAGAAUGGGUCAUAAAUGGACCAAGUGUGUUACCUCUUUCAUGGAGGUUGAUAAAGACAAUGAAAUGUAAUGGUCAGUUAUUGCCUGAGUCAGUUACAGGUUUGAGUUUAUUUUAUUAAGGUAAAAAUAAAUAAAUAUGACCAUAAGUUAAUAAAUGCCUAAAUGAGUGUACAAAUUAAUGGUGGAAACUGAAUCAGUGGAGAGAAAGCCUUAAUGUUUGUAUUGACUUCUCUGCUUGGUACUCUUCAGAACAGAUAAUCAGAUUGAUUUCAUCUACUGCUGUGGUCAAGAUUGUUACGUUGGCAUCAUGUCAGUGAGUAAUAGUCAAAGUGAGUAAUAGUCAAAGGUCUUGUCGUGCUUUGGGUCAUUUGGUUAAAGAUAUCCGUGGUAUUAUUAAAAAGUAUUAAAUAUAAUGAAAAAGUUAACUAUUGCCCAAUGAUAAAUAUGAUAUGAAACAUUAUGUUAAUUGAUAAUAUAUAGCUUUGAGAUUGAUUAACGAAAGACAUGCAGCUGAUGUUGGCAAUGAUUCUAUAGAUAGAACUUAGGGAUAUUCAAGUAUCUUGUUUUUCACUUUUUGUGAGUCAUGUAUUUAUUUUUUCAUUGUCAUUGAAUUAGUGAAUUAAUCAAUACAAAUGUAAAUGAAUGAAGAAUAAAUGGGCUUCUAAUGGACCAGUGAUGACAACUGGUUGUCUAGGAUGAUGAAUGAUUUGUGUCUGGAGCU